rnacentral:lncRNA from 1 species
ACUAUGGCAUGGACCCUCAUCCUCGAGCCCCACUACUCAGAGGAGCUGGGAAGAAUUUCCACCCUUCCUAGUGGCAAGUCUCACUGUGAGAGCGGAGUGCCACCAGGCAAACAGGGCAGAAAGACUGCUUUAAGGAGAAUCCUUAUAUUGGGGGUUAUGAAGUGCAAUACACCCUCAUCCUCACGCUAACACUGGUACCAUGUAGCCCAAGCUUGUCUAACCUGCAGCCCGCGGGCUGUGUAUGGCCCAGGACAGCUCUGAAUGUGGCCCAACGCAAAUUUGUAAACUUUCUAAAACAUUAUGAGAUUUUUUUUUCUCAUCAGCUAUCAUCAGUGUGAGUGUAUGUUAUUUGUGACUCAAGACAAUCCUUCUUUUCCAAUGUGGCCCAGAGAAGCCAAAAGACUGGACACCCCUGAUGUGGCCCUUUCAUCCAUAGUAGCCUAUUUUGUCCUAAAGACGGUCUUGUGCAGUGAGUAGGCCAGGCCUCCCCACUACCACAGUUUACAGGCAAGGAAUGUGAUAUUUCAUAGGAUGACCCUGACUGGCACCUACAUUGCUAGCCAAAGAAUGGCACAAAGAUGUGGACAGAAGAGACAACCUUAAGCAGCUGACUGCUGGCUCCUGCAACAGUAUCAUCAUGGCAUUUGUCCUGGGGUCCCAAGGAAAGAAAACAAAUCUGUGGCUGAGGAACAGACUGAGUUGACAAAGCAGCUUCCACAGUAACACAAGGACAAAGGGUGUAUGUAGAUAUGCACGUGGUAGCAGGUUCUACUAAAGGAACCUGGACCGACCAUUCUAAAAGCCAUGGGAACACACCAGAGUGACUGCUCGAGUAAAUAAGUAGCAUAAACAGCAAGCCAAACCAUUGAUGUACACAUCACUGGGCCCAAUACUAUGAAAUCCCACAUAAGAAACUUGAAAGUGAAAGCUGGAAUUCUGAGGAUACUGGUUUUGCUUAAUAAACAGCAUUUCAACAGGUGAGUCAA